AUUGAACGCUGGCGGCAGGCUUAACACAUGCAAGUCGAGCGGAGCGAGGGUGCUUGCACCUUAGCUUAGCGGCGGACGGGUGAGUAAUGCUUAGGAAUCUGCCUAUUAGUGGGGGACAACAUUCCGAAAGGAAUGCUAAUACCGCAUACGCCCUACGGGGGAAAGCAGGGGAUCUUCGGGACUUGCGCUAAUAGAUGAGCCUAAGUCGGAUUAGCUAGUUGGUGGGGUAAAGGCCUACCAAGGCGACGAUCUGUAGCGGGUCUGAGAGGAUGAUCCGCAACACUGGGACUGAGACACGGCCCAGACUCCUACGUGAGGCAGCGGUGGGGAAUAUUGGAGAAUGGGCGGAAGGCUGAUCUAGCCAUGCCGCGUGUGUGAAGAAGGCCUUUUGGUUGUAAAGCACUUUAAGCGAGGAGGAGGAGCUCUAGGUUAAUACCCUAGAUGCUUGGACGUUACUCGCAGAAUAAGCACCGGCUAACUCUGUGCCAGCCGCCGCAGUAAGAC
rnacentral:rRNA from 1 species